rnacentral:rRNA from 1 species
UACGAAGGGGGCUAGCGUUGCUCCGAAUCACUGGGCGUAAAGCGCACGUAGGCGGACUCUUAAGUCGGUGGUGAAAUCCUGGAGCUCAACUCCAGAACUGCCUUCGAUACUGAGAGUCUUGAGUCCGGGAGAGGUGAGUGGAACUGCGAGUGUAGAGGUGAAAUUCGUAGAUAUUCGCAAGAACACCAGUGGCGAAGGCGGCUCACUGGCCCGGUACUGACGCUGAGGUGCGAAAGCGUGGGGAGCGAACAGG